rnacentral:rRNA from 1 species
AUGAACGCUGGCGGCGUGCUUAACACAUGCAAGUCGAACGAUGAAAAGAAGCUUGCUUCUUGGAUUAGUGGCGAACGGGUGAGUAACACGUGAGUAACCUGCCCUUGACUCUGGGAUAAGCACUGGAAACGGUGUCUAAUACCGGAUACGAACUUCAGUCGCAUGGCUAGGAGUUGGAAAGAAUUUCGGUCAAGGAUGGACUCGCGGCCUAUCAGCUAGUUGGUGAGGUAAUGGCUCACCAAGGCGACGACGGGUAGCCG